GUGACCUCGAUCAGUCGAUCAAGCAUU
rnacentral:rRNA from 1 species